GCUUGGUUUUCGUUCUGUUAUGCAUUUACAGCUGUGCAUUCAUAUGUGUGUGUGUAUAUAUAUAUUUUAUAUAUAUAUAUAUAUAUAUAUAUAUAUAUAUAUAUAUAUAUAUAUAUAUAUAAAUAUAUAAAUGCACAGCUGUAAAUGCAUAACAAAACGAAAACCAAGC